rnacentral:rRNA from 1 species
AGCGAACGCUGGCGGCAGGCUUAACACAUGCAAGUCGAACGGGCGUAGCAAUACGUCAGUGGCAGACGGGUGAGUAACGCGUGGGAACGUACCUUUUGGUUCGGAACAACCCAGGGAAACUUGGGCUAAUACCGGAUAAGCCCUUACGGGGAAAGAUUUAUCGCCGAAAGAUCGGCCCGCGUCUGAUUAGCUAGUUGGUGUGGUAACGGCGCACCAAGGCGACGAUCAGUAGCUGGUCUGAGAGGAUGAUCAGCCACAUUGGGACUGAGACACGGCCCAAACUCCUACGGGAGGCAGCAGCGGGGAAUAUUGGACAAUGGGCGCAAGCCUGAUCCAGCCAUGCCGCGUGAGUGAUGAAGGCCCUAGGGUUGUAAAGCUCUUUUGUGCGGGAAGAUAAUGACGGUACCGCAAGAAUAAAGCCCCGGCUAACUUCGUGCCAGCCGCCGCGGUAAC